rnacentral:rRNA from 1 species
AUUAGUGGCGGACGGGUGAGUAACAUUUAGGAAUCUACCUAGUAGUGGGGGAGUAGCUCGGGGAAACUCGAAUUAAUACCGCAUACGACCUACGGGUGAAAGGGGGCGCAAGCUCUUGCUAUUAGAUGAGCCUAAAUCAGAUUAGCUAGUUGGUGGGGUAAAGGCCCACCAAGGCGACGAUCUGUAACUGGUCUGAGAGGAUGAUCAGUCACACCGGAACUGAGACACGGUCCGG